UUAGUGCAAUGGAUUUAAGCUUCAUAAAUAAAGUAUGUUACUUUUAUUAGAA
rnacentral:tRNA from 1 species